rnacentral:rRNA from 1 species
AACGAACGCUGGCGGCAGGCCUAACACAUGCAAGUCGAACGAACCUUCGGGUGAGUGGCGCACGGGUGCGUAACGCGUGGGAAUAUACACAUAGGUGAGGAAUAACGUAGAGAAAUUUGCGCUAAUACCUCAUAAUGACUCCGGUCCAAAGAUUUAUCGCCUAUGAAUUAGCCCGCGUCAGAUUAGAUAGUUGGUGAGGUAAAGGCUCACCAAGUCUACGAUCUGUAGGGGGUCUGAGAGGAUGAUCCCCCACACUGGUACUGAGACACGGACCAGACUCCUACGGGAGGCAGCAGUGAGGAAUAUUGGACAAUGGGGGCAACCCUGAUCCAGCCAUGCCGCGUGAGUGAAGAAGGCCUUAGGGUUGUAAAGCUCUUUCAAUAGUGAAGAUAAUGACGGUAACUAUACAAGAAGCUCCGGCUAAAAUUCGUGCCAGCGCCG